rnacentral:rRNA from 1 species
UGAUCCAGCCAUGCCGCGUGAGUGAAGAAGGCCUUCGGGUUGUAAAGCUCUUUCGGCCGGGAAGAAAUCGCAUCUCCUAAUACGGGGUGUGGAUGACGGUACCGGAAUAAGAAGCACCGGCUAACUACGUGCCAGCAGCCGCGGUAAUACGUAGGGUGCGAGCGUUAAUCGGAAUUACUGGGCGUAAAGCGUGCGCAGGCGGUUUCGUAAGACAGAGGUGAAAUCCCCGGGCUCAACCUGGGAACUGCCUUUGUGACUGCGAGGCUAGAGUAUGGCAGAGGGGGGUGGAAUUCCACGUGUAGCAGUGAAAUGCGUAGAGAUGUGGAGGAACACCGAUGGCGAAGGCAGCCCCCUGGGCCAAUACUGACGCUCAUGCACGAAAGCGUGGGGAGCAAACAGGAUUAGAUACCCUGGUAGUCCACGCCCUAAACGAUGUCAACUAGGUGUUGGGAGGGUUAAACCUUUUAGUACCGUAGCUAACGCGUGAAGUUGACCGCCUGGGGA